GUGGGGAAUCUUAGACAAUGGGGGAAACCCUGAUCUAGCCAUGCCGCGUGAGCGAUGAAGGCCUUAGGGUUGUAAAGCUCUUUCAGCUGGGAAGAUAAUGACGGUACCAGCAGAAGAAGCCCCGGCUAACUCCGUGCCAGCAGCCGCGGUAAUACGGAGGGGGCUAGCGUUGUUCGGAAUUACUGGGCGUAAAGCGCAUGUAGGCGGAUCAGAAAGUCAGAGGUGAAAUCCCAGGGCUCAACCUUGGAACUGCCUUUGAAACUCCUGGUCUUGAGGUCGAGAGAGGUGAGUGGAAUUCCGAGUGUAGAGGUGAAAUUCGUAGAUAUUCGGAGGAACACCAGUGGCGAAGGCGGCUCACUGGCUCGAUACUGACGCUGAGGUGCGAAAGCGUGGGGAGCAAACAGGAUUAGAUACCCGUGUAGUCC
rnacentral:rRNA from 1 species